GACGAACGCUGGCGGCGUGCUUAACACAUGCAAGUCGAGCGGUAAGGCCCUUUCGGGGUACGACGAGCGGCGAACGGGUGAGUAACACGUGGGUGACCUGCCCUCAGCUCUGGGAUAAGCCUGGGAAACCGGGUCUAAUACUGGAUAUGACUCCAUGACGCAUGUUGUGGGGUGGAAAGCCUUGUGCGGCUGAGGAUGGGCCCGCGGCCUAUCAGCUUGUUGGUGGGGUGAGGCCUACCAAGGCGACGACGGGUAGCCGGCCUGAGAGGGCGACCGGCCACACUGGGACUGAGACACGGCCCAGACUCCUACGGGAGGCAGCAGUGGGGAAUCUUGCGCAAUGGGCGAAAGCCUGACGCAGCGACGCCGCGUGAGGGAUGACGGCC
rnacentral:rRNA from 1 species